GCCUUCGUGGUGUAGUGGUCAGCACGCUCGACGCGUAACCGAGAGGGUCGUGGUUCGACUCCCGGCGAAGUCA
rnacentral:tRNA from 1 species